AGUGUUACUAAUCUUAUUUAUUAUGGCUUUAAUCUAAUUGAAGGCUUUUGUGGUUCCUAUAAUUAAUAGCAACAUAACAGAAUCAAUAAAGCUUAAGACAUAAUGAAUGUCCAUACCAAACACUCAUUUAUGGGGUUUUUGAAAAAUAGGUAAAUGAGAUGAUGUCCCCCUCUGAGGCCAGUGAGCCCAAGGAUGUUUUACUUUAAAAUCCAUUCAGUUUUACAGGAAUAUCAGAUUGCUUUGGGCUGACUUACUAACCAUGAUAAUGAGGCUUAUUCUACUCCUGGGAUUUAGUAUACUGUAUUAAUAAUUAAAACACCUUAUGAGCAAAUGCUAUUCUGACAACCAAGCCUGGGGUGCUGGAAAGACCGCUGGAUCAGAAAGCAGGACACUUGUAUGCUGGAUGAGCUCUUUUAUAGAUUUAAAAAAAACUUAGGGCAGUCUUUUUAAUGUCUCUGCUCAGAUAUCUCCUUAGUUUGGAUCACAUUAUUUUAUGAUGCCUAUCAGCAUCAAAAUCCUGUGCAUCUUUAUUUUUUUAACUUUACUGUGUCCACGUACAAGUUGUUGGCCACAAAAUCAUGUAUGCAUUUGACAAAUGGGAUAACUAAAGUGUAAAGUUUAAAUUACAUUCCAAAAAGCAAUAGGAAAAUAAAUUGUAGCUGAACAAGAAUUGGCCAGGCACAGUGGCCGCUGCCGCUAAUCCCAGCACUUUGGAAGGCCAAGGCAGGAGGAUCACUUGAGGAGUUUAAGACUAGCCUGGGCAACAUAGUGAGACUUCCUCUCUAUAAAAAGUAAAUGAAUAAAAAUUAGCCAUGCACAAUGGUGUGCAGCUAUAGCUCCAACUACUUGGAAGCCGAGGUAGAAGGAUUGCUUGACCCCAGGAGUUUGAGGCUGUAGUGAGCUAUGAUCGUGCCACUGCACCCCAGAAUGGGCGACAGAGUGAGACCUCAUUUCUUUUUUUUUUUUUUUUUUUUUGAGACGGAGUCUCGCUCUGUCACCCAGGCUGGAGACUCACAUUUCUGAUUUCAAAAUUGACGAAACUACAGAAAUCAAAACAGUAUGAUACUGGCAUAAGAAUAGACACAGAGACCAGUGGAAUAUAAUUAGAUGUCCGGAAAUAAACCCUGUCAUUUAUAGCCAAUUGAUUUUUGACAAGGGUAGCAAAUCCAUUCAAUGGGGGAAUGUAUAGUCUCUUCAAAAGAUGGUGCUAGCACAACUGGAUUUCCACAUGGAAAAAAAUGAAGUUGGGCCCCUACCUCACACCAUAUACAAAAUUUAACUCAAAAUGGAUCAAUGAUCUAAAUAUAAAAGCAAAAACCAUAAAACUCUUAGAAGAAAACAUAGGGGUAAAUCUUGGUGACCUUGGAUUUGGCAAUGGAUUCCAAGAUAUGAUACCAAAGUAUGAGCAACAACAACAAUAAAUAAAUAAAUAAGACUUCAUCAAAAUUAUUAAAAAACUUUAAUAUAAACUGAGUACAACAAUAAUGCAAAAAGAAC
rnacentral:lncRNA from 1 species